rnacentral:rRNA from 1 species
CGUGCAGGCGGUCUCGUAAGUCGGACGUGAAAGCUCCUGGCUUAACUGGGAGAGGUCGUUCGACACUGCGAGGCUUGAGGUCGGGAGAGGGACGUGGAAUUCUCGGUGUAGUGGUGGAAUGCGUAGAUAUCGGGAGGAACACCAGUGGCGAAGGCGGCGUCCUGGCCCGCACCUGACGCUGAGACGCGAAAGCGUGGGUAGCGAACG